rnacentral:rRNA from 1 species
UACGUAGGGGGCGAGCGUUGCCCGAAUUUACUGGGCGUAAAGCGCACGCAGGCGGCUUCGUAAGUCUGGUGUGAAAUCUCACGGCUCAACCGGGAGGCUGCACCAGAUACUGCGGAGCUCGAGGACGGGAGAGGAGAUCGGAAUUCCCGGUGUAGCGGUGAAAUGCAUUGAUAUCGGGAGGAACACCAGUGGCGAAGGCGGAUCUCUGGCCCGUUGCUGACGCUGAGGUGCGAAAGCUGGGGGAGCGAAAGGG